GCGCCAUCAGUAUUUGGGUAUGUCUGCCUUCCAAGCAGAAGGAAGUUUUCUAUGGCGUA
rnacentral:tRNA from 1 species